rnacentral:sRNA from 1 species
UCAGUAAGAGUGUGACCCAGAAACUUA